GCAACAGUGCACCUUUUCUUCUUCUAGAAAACGCGCUUAUGGUUUAAUAAAAGAGAAAAAAUUGGAGCAUUUAUCUAUAUCUAUACUACUAUUAAAAGAGCAAACAUGAACUCUCUUAAAACCACCCAAACAAAUGUACACGGGACAAUUAAAACCCUCAGAUCUAAUCCAAUUAGUCAAAUCUAGGAGUCCAUAGUAAUUCGACAAUCAAACGGUUCAGAUUCGAUGUUCUGCCAGGGCAGACGACGAUCGAUCUGACCGGGCCGGAUGGAUCACCCCCAACAAACCGCUAAUCCCGCGCGGCAAUCCUUCGUCUCAUGCCCACGCACGCCGCAUCUUCCUCACUAACUCCGCCGGUUAUGCAGGCGAAUAUGCGGCCAUCAGAUCCCGUCCCUGGAUGUCACCGCCCCACGCCGUUGGCACGGACUCCCCAUCCCGUCGUUGGAUGGAGGGUGCCGCUGGAAGCGGCCGUGCCAACGACGACUUGCCGCCCCUCCGGCCCUCAUCAUCCUCGUGCUUCUCCCGCACCGGCGUCUCCCCGCCGCAUCGGCACCUUCCGUAGCAGGCCAGGACCGGAGCCGAGAAUGAGGCGUCCGCACGCGACCAUCUCUCCCUUCUAGCGCCUUCGACGCGCCCCCGACUGUUGCCGCCAACUUCAUUGGAAGCUUCACGAAGAUCCAGGUAAUCCCCAAACAAACCAUUGUCUGCUCAUGAUUUCAGAAGAGAAGCGGGGGAGUGUAUUCAUGUGAUGAGUAAGAAGAUAAACUUGUGUGGUUCACUGGUUCAAGUCACCGGAUCAACUGUUAGAUGCCCAGAAGGUAGUGUUAGUGUGUUACUACACCUGAAAUUACAACUCAGCUAGCAGCUUCCUUCACAGUGAGCAGGAGAUGCUCACCGCCGAGGCUGGGUUCAGAAAUACAGAUAGGUAGGUAGAUGGACGAGAAUGAGAUACCUUUUUCCUUUUUCUCCUGUUUAUCUAGAUCGGCCGAUCACCAAGGCAUGUAGCUCUUUGUAAUUUAUAUUGGAAGUGCAAGCAUUCUCACAUAGAUAAUAGAAAAUGGUGGUAAUCCGCUCAGGGAGUGAUUCUCUCUAAUUCAUGGGAGCACCCACAGGGCUGUAAUCGUCAUGAAGAUUCAGCAGUUCGCUCUCACUAAUUCAGGGCGCGUCGAAGGCACCGCGACGGUGGGAGUCACUAUACGGAUAUCAGGCCAGUUGCAUUAUUUCUUGCCUGAUAUUUUUAUUUAUUGUUGCAGACUGGGGUAGGAUGCCGAAGAUGUAGAGGUUGUUGCUCCAGUGACGCUGGAGCCCAAUCAAAGGAAGAGAAUAUGCGCGUUUUCCCUCCUAACCAUUUGAGUAGUGUUCUGUGCAAUUUAUGCACAUUUUGAAAAUUUAGUUAUAGACGUCGAAUUUAUCUCCAAUCCUCUAUUGUGCCGUAUCUUCUACAAUCUUUCAUAUUUUAGCAUGAAUUUUUUAAAAUGUGUGUUAGAAAGCUUGUAUAUCAUACAUACAUGUGCUAUUUUCUUUUGAUUAUCUCCUUUCAGACUGUUUGGGCUUUCUAGAUCAUAAUAAUUUGUUCUUAAUAGCUCUUUGGGUCUUAGAGAAUUCAGAAUAAGUUCUUACAACAAUCGUUACUGGAUAAAUCAUGUAUGAUACCAUGCUUGCACCCUUAUUUGCAGCUGUAUUUCAGGUUUUUGGCACAAUAAGGUUAGUUUGUUUUUUCUGCUUUUUGGUUAGCACUGAUGAUAAUUUGAACCUGUCAGACGGGGAAAGAUAUGCCCAUUAUGAGUGCAUCUUGAUUCAGUUUGAGGAGAAAGAGUAGUUAAUUCAGCUUGUGGCAUGUGUCCACACUUGUUAACCAAUUAACCCUUUUCCAUUUGUGUCUUAAAACUACUUUUGUUAACAUUGCCAACCUAACAGAGGAUCUACUUUUGCUAAUAGUGGUCAAAUAAAAGAGGAUCCAGAGUUUCAGACUCUGUGUUGUACAGAAUUAUUCUUUGCCAACAAUAGCUUUGCUAAGUUUCUCUUGCCUCUCGGUGUUACUACAGGGAUUUAGAAACACAAGGAAUGAUUAACGAUGAAAGAACCACAGAUAGAUCUGUGAUUUCUCCAUUGGCCAAUAAUUCAACUGCAUGUUUUAGGAACCACAAAUAGCUUUGGGUAUUUUCUUUGUACGCAUUAAUAAUUUAAUAUUAUAUAUUGAGAACUGAAAUAAAUAUUUUACGUCAUAUUUAUUUGAAACUUUUCAUAUUAAUAGUGCAAUGCAUAGAUUUAUUUUUCUAUGUUUUUAUGUUUAUUUCCCACUAGACUGAGAAUAUUGAUUAUACUAGACAAGUAGUCAUUGUUGCUUUGAUUCAGAAUGAGAAACAUUAAUUUUUCUGAAUCAUUGUUGGUGAAGAUGGCAGAUUUCAAACAUGGUGGCGAACAAAGGUUUAUAUUGCAGGCGCCUCUGAUUUCUUAAGUUCUUAACAAUUUAAUGAUCGCUCGCUACUAUUCUCAUCAUUAUUAUAGAUAAGAAUGCCAGGCCCUUCAGUUUUCUACUACCUUGACGGUAAUUGAGAUGACAAGGAAAUACACGGGGAAGCAGAUAACUUGGAUCAUACAAUGUCACAAAUUGUGUUGGCCAAUGUACUUUGCGGCUCAGACAAGGACCUUUAUAUGCACAUCACAAUUUUGUGACAGUAGUCUUUUUAAGCAAAAUGACCCUAUGAACAUACUUAUCAUUAGUUGUUUCCUCAUAGUGGGAACUUUCUAUCCAGCUAAACUGGAGCAUCAGGUAGCUAUCACACACAUCCUUUUGAGAACAAGAACACAUUUAUUUAUAUGUUUGUCUUGUUUUCUGUUUGUGCUUGCAGGAAAACAGUCUAGCUACUAGAGAUUUGAGCUGAAGCACAAGCCUUUCCUCUUGGAAUUGAUUUAGAACCCAAGGGAGGAGUUCCUAUCAUCAAUGCUAGCUGUACAUUCAAAUGCAUAUGCUUGUGAGCUCUGCUCUCUAAACACCCUAAAGAUAACAGAUGUUAUUUUGUACUCUUAACAGGUCUCCCAUAUGGUAAUUGUCUUUAUAAAGCACCCUAUGAUAUUUCUAGAAAGUAAGGUCAUGUAGGAAAAUGGAGCGCUCCAUCUUUGGUUAUUCUCUACUCAGGUUUGAGAAGAAGCACAUCCCAUUACUAUUACAUGGCAAAAGCGGCUGCAUGGCAAGGAGAAAGUCGCAACUCCGCCAUGGACUUAUGUGGCGAUGGGAGUUGAGAGAUGGCAAUGCAUGCUGGUAGUGCUAUAAGGCCACGCCAGGGUUUGUGACAUUGCCAGGUGCCGGUAUGUUUCUACCAUUGGCCCUUGUAGAUCCCUUUAGUGAAAGGGCCGUGGUUAUCAGAAUAGAGAUCGUGCAUUGCACGUGCAAGUUUGAUAGAGACGUGCAUUGCACGUGCACGUUUACUAGUGUAUCGAAGUCAGCAUAUAUCAACAGGACGGCGACUGCACAUCGACACACAUUAACCAAACAGAUUGUGACACGACAGAUGGAGUCUCAACAACGAAGCAGCAGAAUUCAGGAACUCCUGAUCAUGUAUAUCAGCCAGGACUCAACUAUGAUUCUGCAGGGUCAACACUCCAUAGAGAUUAUGGCUAGGUCCAAAUGCUCUCUUUCAAGUUCCCAACCAGGGCAGACCUUGCAUAAAAGGAACCUACUGGGCAAACCACAUGCCAGUCUCAGUUUCUACUAUUCAAGUGAGAAAUGCAUGAAAGACAUACUGCAGCAUUUGUCAUAUGAUGAAAGUAACAAGAUAACUUCUACAUAUAAUAUAGUAAUGUACUUCUACAUAUAAUAUAGUAAACAAUCUUAUAUUUCUUUA